ACCUGGGUGGCUCAGUCAGUUGAGCGUCUGACUUCAGCUCAGGUCAUGAUCUCACCGUUUGUGAGUUCGAGCCCCACAUCAGGCU
rfam:Felis catus isolate Cinnamon breed Abyssinian chromosome B2, whole genome shotgun sequence.